GUGGGGAAUUUUGCGCAAUGGGGGAAACCCUGACGCAGCAACGCCGCGUGAGUGAUGAAGGCCUUCGGGUUGUAAAGCUCUUUUAGUGGGGAAGAAAUCCUGUAGUUAACGCUGCAGGUAUGACGGUACCCACAGAAAAAGUUCCGGCUAACUACGUGCCAGCAGCCGCGGUAAUACGUAGGGAGCAAGCGUUGUUCGGAAUUAUUGGGCGUAAAGAGCGCGUAGGUGGUUCAGUAAGUCCGAUGUGAAAUCCCAGAGCUCAACUCUGGAACUGCAUUGGAAACUGCUGGGCUUGAGUGCGGGAGAGGUGAGUGGAAUUCCCAGUGUAGAGGUGAAAUUCGUAGAUAUUGGGAGGAACACCGGUGGCGAAGGCGGCUCACUGGACCGCAACUGACGCUGAGGCGCGAAAGCUCGGGGAGCAAACGGGAUUAGAAACCCCGGUAGUCC
rnacentral:rRNA from 1 species